AGUAAAAGUCGUAACAAGGUUUCCGUAGGUGAACCUGCGGAAGGAUCAUUAUCAAAAGUCAAGUCGGGGGCUGCAAAGCCCUCGUCUACACCCAUGUCUUUUGCGUACUUCUUGUUUCCUCGGUGGCGCAAGCCGCCGAUUGGACAAACCAAAACCUUUUUUGUAAUUGCAAUCAGCGUCUGAAAAUAAUCUAAUUAUUUACAACUUUCAACAACGGAUCUCUUGGUUCUGGCAUCGAUGAAGAACGCAGCGAAAUGCGAUAAGUAGUGUGAAUUGCAGAAUUCAGUGAAUCAUCGAAUCUUUGAACGCACAUUGCGCCCCUUGGUAUUCCAUGGGGCAUGCCUGUUCGAGCGUCAUUUGUACCCUCAAGCUUUGCUUGGUGUUGGGCGUCUUGUCGUAUUACGACUCGCCUUAAAUACAUUGGCAGCCGGCACUUUGGCCUAGGAGCGCAGCACAUUUUGCGAUCGUAGCCCGUUGUACUGGCGUCCAUCAAGAACAUUUACCACGUUUGACCUCGGAUCAGGUAGGGAUACCCGCUGAACUUAAG
rnacentral:rRNA from 1 species